GGACUACUCGGGUUUCUAAUCCUGUUUGCUCCCCACGCUUUCGCGCCUCAGCGUCAGUAUCUGUCCAGGUAGCCGCCUUCGCCACUGGUGUUCCUUCCGAUCUCUACGCAUUUCACCGCUACACCGGAAAUUCCACUACCCUCUACAGUACUCCAGAUCACCAGUCAUCGUUGCCAUUCCUAGGUUAAGCCCAGGGAUUUCACAACAAUCUUAACAAUCCGCCUACGCGCCCUUUACGCCCAGUAACUCCGAUUAACGCUCGCACCCUCUGUAUUACCGCGGCGGCUGGCAC
rnacentral:rRNA from 1 species